UACGAAGGGGGCUAGCGUUGCUCGGAUUGACUGGGCGUAAAGGGCGCGUAGGCGGUUCGUACAGUCAGACGUGAAAUUCCUGGGCUCAACCUGGGGGCUGCGUUUGAUAUGUGCGGACUUGAGUGCGGAAGAGGGUCGUGGAAUUCCCAGUGUAGAGGUGAAAUUCGUAGAUAUUCGCAAGAGCACCAGUGGCGAAGGCGGCUCACUGGCCCGAUACUGACGCUGAGGCACGAAAGCGUGGGGAGCAAACAGG
rnacentral:rRNA from 1 species